rnacentral:lncRNA from 1 species
GAGAAUCAGAUUAUAGACAUCAUGAUUAAGGGAGUGUAGGUUGAAGUAUUCAGAAGACUAAGAGCUAUGAUGAAUGUAGAUAGCUUAGAUACAAUGAAUUAGGUGGUGUGUUGAAUUGUAAUUCCUUGUGCCGAAGUAGGUUGCUCGACAGGAACAAGGAAGUGUCGAACCACCUAGGGUGUUGAGUUGUGUUAGUGUGUCGAAG